AGGUCUGAUUUCGUUCCUGCUCUCGCAAAAGUAAUUAGUGCUGCUGUCAUCCUAAGAAAUAGAGGAGGAAAAGUACUAACACCUCUCUGAUGAAUUUGUUGCUGGAAUGUCUGGCCCACAACGACUCUCUUCAUCUCUUGGAGCUGCCUGCUUCUAUGUUGAAAGCCAGUGAAAAAGAGUAAGCAGCAUCUUUAUCCAGAAUUUCCAGAAAUCAUUCUGUUGUCUACUUUGAUUGCAUUAGUGUCUGAGGAUAUUCCAAACCCAAAACCUAUGGAUAAGAACAAUUUGCAUUGAACAGAGCCCCAAGCAGGCUAAAGGAAUGCUCAAAAAACACAACUCACCAAGCGAAAACAGGCGUCAAAGGUGGACUCGCUGUCCAGUAUCCAAGUAACUGCUGCGCUCUGAGUUCAGGUGAAAGUAAAAGUGACUGGAAUUAGCCUCCCACCUAAAAAAAGAAAACCAGCAACGAAACAGAACAUUAUAAAACAACAGUUUUCAAAAUGCUUGACAUCAGGCUAACAAAGGACAGU